AAUAGAUACCCGGGUAGUCCACGCCGUAAACGAUGGGUACUAGGUGUAGGGGGGUCCCCCUCUGUGCCGCAGUUAACACAUUAAGUACCCCGCCUGGGGAGUACGAUCGCAAGAUUAAAACUCAAAGGAAUUGACGGGGGCCCGCACAAGCAGCGGAGCAUGUGGUUUAAUUCGAAGCAACGCGAAGAACCCUUACCAAGGCUUGACAUCCAAAGAAUCCACAAGAGAUUGAGGAGUGCCCUUCGGGGAACUUUGAGACAGGUGGUGCAUGGUUGUCGUCAGCUCGUGUCGUGAGAUGUUGGGUUAAGUCCCGCAACGAGCGCAACCCUUGUUGUUAGUUGCUACCAUUAAGUUGAGCACUCUAACGAGACUGCCGAGGUUAACUCGGAGGAAGGUGGGGAUGACGUCAAAUCAUCAUGCCCCUUAUGCCUUGGGCUACACACGUGCUACAAUGGCCGGUACAAUUGAAGCAAGACCGCGAGGUGAGCAAAUCAGAAAACCGGUCCAGUUCGGAUUGUAGGCUGCAACUCGCCUACAUGAAG
rnacentral:rRNA from 1 species